GUGACUGCGUACCUUUUGUAUAAUGGGUCAGCGACUUAUAUUCUGUAGCAAGGUUAACCGAAUAGGGGAGCCGGAGGGAAACCGAGUCUUAAUUGGGCGUUAAGUUGCAGGGUAUAGACCCGAAACCCGGUGAUCUAGCCAUGGGCAGGUUGAAGGUUGGGUAACACUAACUGGAGGACCGAACCGACUAAUGUUGAAAAAUUAGCGGAUGACCUGUGGCUGGGGGUGAAAGGCCAAUCAAACCGGGAGAUAGCUGGUUCUCCCCGAAAGCUAUUUAGGUAGCGCCUCGUGAAUUCAUCUCCGGGGGUAGAGCACUGUUUCGGCUAGGGGGCCAUCCCGGCUUACCAACCCGAUGCAAACUGCGAAUACCGGAGAAUGUUAUCACGGGAGACACACGGCGGGUGCUAACGUCCGUCGUGAAGAGGGAAACAACCCAGACCGCCAGCUAAGGUCCCAAAGUCAUGGUUAAGUGGGAAACGAUGUGGGAAGGCCCAGACAGCCAGGAUGUUGGCUUAGAAGCAGCCAUCAUUUAAAGAAAGCGUAAUAGCUCACUGGUCGAGUCGGCCUGCGCGGAAGAUGUAACGGGGCUAAACCAUGCACCGAAGCUGCGGCAGCGACACUCAGGUGUUGUUGGGUAGGGGAGCGUUCUGUAAGCCUGCGAAGGUGGCCUGUGAGGGUUGCUGGAGGUAUCAGAAGUGCGAAUGCUGACAUAAGUAACGAUAAAGCGGGUGAAAAGCCCGCUCGCCGGAAGACCAAGGGUUCCUGUCCAACGUUAAUCGGGGCAGGGUGAGUCGACCCCUAAGGCGAGGCCGAAAGGCGUAGUCGAUGGGAAACGGGUUAAUAUUCCCGUACUUGGUGUUACUGCGAAGGGGGGACGGAGAAGGCUAUGUUGGCCGGGCGACGGUUGUCCCGGUUUAAGCGUGUAGGUGUGUGUUCCAGGUAAAUCCGGUUCACUUUAACACUGAGGCGUGACGACGAGGCACUACGGUGCUGAAGCAACAAAUGCCCUGCUUCCAGGAAAAGCCUCUAAGCAUCAGGUAACAUCAAAUCGUACCCCAAACCGACACAGGUGGUCAGGUAGAGAAUACCAAGGCGCUUGAGAGAACUCGGGUGAAGGAACUAGGCAAAAUGGUGCCGUAACUUCGGGAGAAGGCACGCUGACAUGUAGGUGAAGUGAUUUACUCAUGGAGCUGAAGUCAGUCGAAGAUACCAGCUGGCUGCAACUGUUUAUUAAAAACACAGCACUGUGCAAACACGAAAGUGGACGUAUACGGUGUGACGCCUGCCCGGUGCCGGAAGGUUAAUUGAUGGGGUCAGCGCAAGCGAAGCUCCUGAUCGAAGCCCCGGUAAACGGCGGCCGUAACUAUAACGGUCCUAAGGUAGCGAAAUUCCUUGUCGGGUAAGUUCCGACCUGCACGAAUGGCGUAAUGAUGGCCAGGCUGUCUCCACCCGAGACUCAGUGAAAUUGAACUCGCUGUGAAGAUGCAGUGUACCCGCGGCAAGACGGAAAGACCCCGUGAACCUUUACUAUAGCUUGACACUGAACAUUGAGCCUUGAUGUGUAGGAUAGGUGGGAGGCUUUGAAGUGUGGACGCCAGUCUGCAUGGAGCCGACCUUGAAAUACCACCCUUUAAUGUUUGAUGUUCUAACGUGGACCCGUGAUCCGGGUUGCGGACAGUGUCUGGUGGGUAGUUUGACUGGGGCGGUCUCCUCCUAAAGAGUAACGGAGGAGCACGAAGGUUGGCUAAUCCUGGUCGGACAUCAGGAGGUUAGUGCAAUGGCAUAAGCCAGCUUGACUGCGAGCGUGACGGCGCGAGCAGGUGCGAAAGCAGGUCAUAGUGAUCCGGUGGUUCUGAAUGGAAGGGCCAUCGCUCAACGGAUAAAAGGUACUCCGGGGAUAACAGGCUGAUACCGCCCAAGAGUUCAUAUCGACGGCGGUGUUUGGCACCUCGAUGUCGGCUCAUCACAUCCUGGGGCUGAAGUAGGUCCCAAGGGUAUGGCUGUUCGCCAUUUAAAGUGGUACGCGAGCUGGGUUUAGAACGUCGUGAGACAGUUCGGUCCCUAUCUGCCGUGGGCGCUGGAGAACUGAGGGGGGCUGCUCCUAGUACGAGAGGACCGGAGUGGACGCAUCACUGGUGUUCGGGUUGUCAUGCCAAUGGCACUGCCCGGUAGCUAAAUGCGGAAGAGAUAAGUGCUGAAAGCAUCUAAGCACGAAACUUGCCCCGAGAUGAGUUCUCCCUGAGACUU
rnacentral:rRNA from 1 species